rnacentral:rRNA from 1 species
UACGGAGGAUCCAAGCGUUAUCCGGAAUCAUUGGGUUUAAAGGGUCCGUAGGCGGGCUUUUAAGUCAGUGGUGAAAUCUCCCAGCUCAACUGGGAAACUGCCAUUGAUACUGUAGGUCUUGAAUUAUUAUGAAGUAACUAGAAUAUGUAGUGUAGCGGUGAAAUGCUUAGAUAUUACAUGGAAUACCAAUUGCGAAGGCAGGUUACUACUAAUAUAUUGACGCUGAGGUGCGAAAGCGUGGGGAGCAAACAGG